CCAAAAAUAGUCUUUGUCACCCCAAAAAAUGGUCCCUGUCACCCCCAAAACAGUGCCUCUGUCACCCCAAAAUAGCCCCAUUGUCACCCCAAAAACCAGCCCCUGUCACCCCAAAACACUUCUGUUACCCGCAGGGGUCCCUGGGUGGUUUUUGGGGUCCCUGGCUGUGUAUUUUGGGGUCCCUGGGUGUGGUUUUUGGGGUCCCUGGGGGUGUUUUUUGGGGUCCCUGGCUGUGGUUUUUGGGGUCCCUCGGUGUUUUUUGGGGUCCCUGGCUGUGGUUUUUGGGGUCCCUGGGUGUGUUUUUUAGGGUUUUGGGGUCCCUGGCUGUGGUUUUUGGGGUGUUUUGGCAUCCUUGGAUGUGUUUUUUGGGAUUUUUGGCAUCCCUGGAUGUGUUUUUUAUGGUUUUGGUGUCCCUGGCUGUGUUUUUUAGGGUUUUUUGGGCUCCCUGGGCGUGUUUUUUGGGGUCCCUGGUUCCGUUUUGGGGGUUUUUGUGGUCCCUGGUUCCAUUUUUGGGGUCCCUGGUUCCAUUUUUUGGGGUUUUUGGGGUCCCAGGUUCCAUUUUUGGGGUCCCUGAACCCCGUUUUU
rnacentral:lncRNA from 1 species